rnacentral:lncRNA from 1 species
UGGGUUUGCUUUGAUUUGUUUCAGUUCAUUGGUGGUCAGCAAAUUAUUUUGGUGACUUAACCUUUUUCACUCCCUGGUUGGUAGUCUCAAUCCCUGCUCUCAUCAUUUUUACUCCCAUUUACUUCCCUUCAUCUUAUAUUAUUGGCUUUCCCUCCAUGUUCUACUCUUCCAUUCUUUCCGAAGGCCCAUCUGGAAACAUGGAUUCUGAUUCUCUCAUGAAAGAAUGCAUGGGCUGCCUGUGGAAACUUUCACAUUUGAAUUCCUUAGUUUUCAGAGACAUUCCUGCUUCAUGAUUCAAUGAUCUAAAAAGUAAGCCCAUUUUUUCCCAGAAAUCAAAAUGAAGGCUAACUCAUUCUUGACAACCAAGAAGAUGCUAGAAUUUCCUUUAGAACACUUGACUUCCCAAUCACUGUAUAAUCCAGGGACUCAAAAUACAGAAUUAAGAUUGGUAAGCAAGCAAAGUGUUUCAUUAAUACCUUCAAAUUUAUAGCCUUUUGCUUACUUGGUAAGACUUAAUAUAUACAUAAUUUUCAAAUAUUAAGUGCUUUUUAAAUGUUGGCAGUUAUUUACAAAAAAGUAUUUCAUAUUCUUAUGAGAUUGUGUUUCUCAUAUUUCUCAUAAUAAAGAUGUAUAACACCUGUACAGUG